rnacentral:rRNA from 1 species
AACGAACGCUGGCGGCAGGCCUAACACAUGCAAGUCGAGCGAGGACUUCGGUCCUAGCGGCGGACGGGUGAGUAACGCGUGGGAACGUGCCCUUUGCUACGGAAUAGCCCUGGGAAACUGGGAGUAAUACCGUAUGUGCCCUUUGGGGGAAAGAUUUAUCGGCAAAGGAUCGGUCCGCGUUGGCCUAGGUUGUUGGUGGGGUAAUGGCCUACCAAGCCGACGAUGCAUAGCUGGUUUGAGAGGGUGAUCAGCCACACUGGGACUGGGACACGGCCCAGACUCCUACGGGAGGCAGCAGUGGGGAAUCUUAGACAAUGGGCGCAAGCCUGAUCUAGCCAUGCCGCGUGAGCGAUGAAGGCCUUAGGGUUGUAAAGCUCUUUCAGUGGGGAAGAUAAUGACGGUACCCACAGAAGAAGCCCCGGCUAACUCCGUGCCAGCAGCCGCCGCGGUAA